rnacentral:tRNA from 1 species
AAAAUCCGUCGACUUUAGAAAUCGUGAGGGUUCAAGUCCCUCUAUCCCCCCAAAAAGACCGAUUUGACUAUUUCUCCUACCCUCUCUUUUUUUUAGUGGUUCCAAAUUUGUUCUCUUUCUCAUUCAUUCUACCUUUUUACAAACGUAUCAGAGCAGAAUUUUUUUUCUUUUAUCACAAUCACAAGUGGUGUGGUAUAUAUGAUAUACGUACAAAUGAACAUCUUUGAACAAAGAAUCCCGAUUCACAAUUCAUAUCAUUGCUCAUACUGAAACUUAUAAAUUAUUCUAUUCAAGAAAUCUAAUUCCACGCUCAAGACUUUUAAUACUUUUUUUAUCUUUUUUAAUUGACAUAGACCCCAGUCAUCUAGUAAAAUAAGGAUGAUGCGCCGGUAAUGGUCGGGAUAGCUCAGCUGGUAGAGCAGAGGACUGAAAAUCCUCGUGUCAC